AUGUGCACAAACAAUUGGGAAAGAGUGCCGAUUGGCUACAGGUUCAAUCGAUAAUGUUGUAGCAAUUGCAACAAUUACAGAAGUCAAUGGUGAAAACAAUAGCCAGCUUAUCCAUGGUGUUCCAUUGGGCAAGGGAAACAAGCGUGUGUCAAUUGUCACUUCUCUAGUGGAUGAAGCUAAGCUUCCAUUUCCGAUCAAAGAUGAAAUAGUGACUGUUCGAGAUGCUAUCGGGACUUAUGUGGCCUGGCCUGAAAACCUUAUAAUUUUUCAAUGCGAGUCUAAGACGGCAGCAAAGAGUAAAGGAUUGAAGAAGAGAAAAAGGGCAGAUGAAGAUGAUGAUGAAGAGGAAGAUAUAGACACUGCAUCACUGCCACCAACUACUCCUGCAUCUCUUAUUGCGGUAUGCAAUUGGGCCAAAGAAAGAAUGAGAAAUGCAUAAAUUAAACAAUUAUCUGCGAGUUCGAUGAAAAGAUUUUCGGACAUCCAUCCAAAACUUUUAUCUGCAAACAUGAUAUUAAUAACUUUGUUACCAUGAAGGAAGUAUCGGGCAGCUGCAUAGGCAUCUAUAUU
rnacentral:lncRNA from 1 species